rnacentral:rRNA from 1 species
GGAUAAUCUACCUAUUGGUACGGGACAACAGUUGGAAACGACUGCUAAUACCGUAUAAGCUGGAUUCGGGAAAGGGGGCCUCUUCUUGAAAGCUCUCGCCAGUAGAUGAGUCCGCGUUUCAUUAGCUAGACGGCGGGGUAACGGCCUACCGUGGCAACGAUGAAUAGGAGGCCUGAGAGGGUGGCCUGCCACACUGGGACUGGAACACGGCCCAUACUCCUACGGGAGGCAGCAGUGGGGAAUAUUGCGCACUGGACGAGAGUCUGACGCAGCGACGCCGCGUGGAGGAUGAAGGUUUUCGGAUCGUAAUCUCCUGUCAAGAAGGAAGAAGCUAUUUUAAUUUUACUCUUAGUAAUUGACGGUACCUCUUAAGGAAGCCCGGCUAAUUCAGUGCCAGCAGUCGCGGUAAUACUGAAGGUGCAUGCG